UUCCUCAUUUUUGUUCUCUGCUUGUAUUUUCCAGAUGAAUAUCGAAGCAAAGCCCUCUCUCUCGAGAUCUAAUUGAUUUCAUCUCAGAGUCAGAGUCCAAAGACUCCGACUCGCCGACUCAGUGGUGGUUCACUGUUUACUCCCUCACCGCCUCUCUCUUUUUCCGGCGACCUCUCUCCGUCCGCAAAAGAUCGACGUCCGAUUCAAGCAUUUCCUUCCUCAAAUGAGUAUUGUCGGAUCUUGUAUCUCACUCGCAGUGAUUCGUGCAUAGCUCGACCUCCAUGACCAUCAGAGGCGUCGAUUUCAAAUGGUGCGAUGGAUUCUUCUUGUCGAUGCUCGCGACCGUGUCUAGGCAUCGGACUCUCAUGAAUGUAUUCGAUAAAGCUCCUGUUGUUGACAAGGAUGCAUUUGUGGCCCCAAGUGCCUCCAUCGUUGGUGAUGUUCAAGUGGGAAGAGGAUCUUCUAUUUGGUAUGGAUGUGUAUUGAGUGUUAGCAAGCCUGAAUCAAGCAAUUUUCAUGUCUGAGCUCGACGUCCAGAUUCCCAAUGCCUUUGAUAUCUAUCUGAGCUACUCGGGGAGCAUCACAAGCUCGGUCCAUUCCUCCCUGUGCUACCGAAUUGCUGCAGGUUGUUGAACCAAGGUUGUUAUGAGCCUCUGUUUGUGGUCGUGGUUAUUAUUCAUUGCUAUGACUGGAUUUUUAUAUGAAAUAGAUUGGAGAGUGCUUAGCAAGCAAGGGCAUUGGAGAACGUUGAAAAGAAAGGGCAUGCUCUAUGAUGCACAACUUCUUUAUGGGAAAUGGUUGGCAUGUGGCAUCAAAUCAAGCUAUAAUCAGCCCCUUUAAGUACUCAUGUAAUCAAUUUGAAGACAAUUCUAAUCUAGAUAGCAUGUUCUAUAUUUGAAAACCAGUUUAAUUAUACUAUGAUUUUGUAAUAUGAAGUUAUUUAAUUGAUCUAAUUUACUACAUGCAUACUUUUGUUUACUAUGCUUGAAUGAAAGGGUUUAAUUGAAAGUAU